CAGUCUGAUGGAGCACGCCGCGUGAGUGAAGAAGGGUUUCGGCUCGUAAAGCUCUGUUGUUAAAGAAGAACGUGGGUAAGAGUAACUGUUUACCCAGUGACGGUAUUUAACCAGAAAGCCACGGCUAACUACGUGCCAGCAGCCGCGGUAAUACGUAGGUGGCAAGCGUUAUCCGGAUUUAUUGGGCGUAAAGCGAGCGCAGGCGGUCUUUUAAGUCUAAUGUGAAAGCCUUCGGCUCAACCGAAGAAGUGCAUUGGAAACUGGGAGACUUGAGUGCAGAAGAGGACAGUGGAACUCCAUGUGUAGCGGUGAAAUGCGUAGAUAUAUGGAAGAACACCAGUGGCGAAGGCGGCUGUCUGGUCUGCAACUGACGCUGAGGCUCGAAAGCAUGGGUAGCGAACAGGAUUAGAUACCCUGGUAGUCCAUGCCGUAAACGAUGAUUACUAAGUGUUGGAGGGUUUCCGCCCUUCAGUGCUGCAGCUAACGCAUUAAGUAAUCCGCCUGGGGAGUACGACCGCAAGGUUGAAACUCAAAAGAAUUGACGGGGGCCCGCACAAGCGGUGGAGCAUGUGGUUUAAUUCGAAGCUACGCGAAGAACCUUACCAGGUCUUGACAUCUUCUGACAGUCUAAGAGAUUAGAGGUUCCCUUCGGGGACAGAAUGACAGGUGGUGCAUGGUUGUCGUCAGCUCGUGUCGUGAGAUGUUGGGUUAAGUCCCGCAACGAGCGCAACCCUUAUUACUAGUUGCCAGCAUUAAGUUGGGCACUCUAGUGAGACUGCCGGUGACAAACCGGAGGAAGGUGGGGACGACGUCAAAUCAUCAUGCCCCUUAUGACCUGGGCUACACACGUGCUACAAUGGAUGGUACAACGAGUCGCGAGACCGCGAGGUAAGCU
rnacentral:rRNA from 1 species